rnacentral:lncRNA from 1 species
AAGAAGACCUUGUCACACUGGCAAAAACAGCAAGUGGAGUCAAUCAGCUUGUUGAUAUUUAUGAGAAAUAUCAAGAUUUGUAUACUGUGGAACCAAAUAAUGCACGCCAGCUGGUAGAAAUUGCAGCCAGGGAUAUUGAGAAACUUCUGAGCAACAGAUCUAAAGCCCUGGUGCGCCUGGCAUUGGAAGCGGAGAAAGUUCAAGCAGCUCACCAGUGGAGAGAAGAUUUUGCAAGCAAUGAAGUUGUCUACUACAAUGCAAAGGAUGAUCUCGAUGUAUCAAACAUUGAUGAAGUCUAAUUAUUGAAGAAAG